AGCGAACGCUGGCGGCAGGCCUAACACAUGCAAGUCGAACGAACUCUUCGGAGUUAGUGGCGGACGGGUGAGUAACACGUGGGAACGUGCCUUUAGGUUCGGAAUAACUCAGGGAAACUUGUGCUAAUACUGAAUGUGCCCUUCGGGGGAAAGAUUUAUCGCCUUUAGAGCGGCCCGCGUCUGAUUAGCUAGUUGGUGAGGUAAAGGCUCACCAAGGCGACGAUCAGUAGCUGGUCUGAGAGGAUGAUCAGCCACAUUGGGACUGAGACACGGCCCAAACUCCUACGGGAGGCAGCAGUGGGGAAUCUUGCGCAAUGGGCGAAAGCCUGACGCAGCCAUGCCGCGUGAAUGAUGAAGGUCUUAGGAUUGUAAAAUUUUUUCACCGGGGACGAUAAUGACGGUACCCGGAGAAGAAGCCCCGGCUAACUUCGUGCCAGCCGCCGCAGUAACAC
rnacentral:rRNA from 1 species